GCACCCUUCAAAACUUGUAAAUAACGGUUGAUACGCUACAUAACGGCCGUUAUUUGAAACCAUGAUAUUGGCACUCAUUUAAUUGCAACACAUUUACUACCUAAGUUGAUCUUAAGAUAUGGUUGGAAGUGAAAAAUGAUUGUUGAUGGAUAGUGCACAUCUAAUCGGUCUUGAGAGUCCAAACACUGUCAGGAUUGGGUUAGCACCAGAAUCUUGAUUGGUUGCCUUUUGCAAGUGAAAUUCAAGAAAAAUGUUAAAAAAACUUAUGUGCCUAUCUUUAUUGUACGAAGCCAUGCUACAGGACACACUGACUCUAGAAAUGGCAUACCAACUACCCCAAAUACUAGCAUCUGUUAUUAUUCUCUUGGUUGUACUCUUCUGAGUUAGGAAAUAAAAAUUUUGCUUUCAAUAGUUUCAUUAGAUGUUUUAUUUAAGCACUAUCCUACCUUAAAUUUAACCUGGCAAAAAACAUUGAUGUAGGUGAUACCGCGAUAGUUAAUAAUGUCUUUUAGGAGAUUCUGUUCAUGGUUUUUUGAAAGCCUACUCGAUUGAUUAUUUGUGUAGUUCUUCAGAAACUUGAGUACAUUCAUCUUGUUUUUAUCAUACUAAUAU
rnacentral:misc_RNA from 1 species